rnacentral:rRNA from 1 species
GACGAACGCUGGCGGCGGGCUUAACACAUGCAAGUCGAACGGAAAGGCCCUGCUUUUGUGGGGUGCUCGAGGGGCGAACGGGUGAGUAACACGUGAGUAACCUGCCCUUGACUUUGGGAUAACUUCAGGAAACUGGGGCUAAUACCGGAUAGGAGCUCCUGCUGCAUGGUGGGGGGUGGAAAGUUUCGGCGGGUGGGGAUGGACUCGCGGCUGAUGAGCUUGUUGGUGGGGUAGGGGCUUACCAAGGCUUUGACGGGUAGCCGGCCUGGGAGGGUGACCGGCCACAUUGGGCCUGAGAUACGCCCCAGACUGGUACGUGAGGCAGCAGUGGGGAAUAUUGUCCAAUGGGCGGGCGCCUGUUGCAGCAACGCCGCGUGCGGGAAGACGGCUUUCGGGUUGUAAACCGCUUUCGCCUGUGACGAAGCUUGAGUGACGGUAAUGGGUAAAGAAGCACCGGCUAACUACGUG